CCUACGGGUGGCAGCAGUGAGGAAUAUUGGUCAAUGGGCGUAAGCCUGAACCAGCCAAGUCGCGUGAGGGAUGAAGGUUCUAUGGAUCGUAAACCUCUUUUAUAAGGGAAUAAAGUGUGGGACGUGUCCUAUUUUGUAUGUAUCUUAUCAAUACGGAUCGGCUAACUCCGUGCCAGCAGCCGCGGUAAUACGGAGGAUCCGAGCGUUAUCCGGAUUUAGUGGGUGUAAAGGGUGCGUAGGCGGCCUUUUAAGUGUGCGGUGAAAGUCUGUGGCUCAACCAUAGAAUUGCCGUUGAAACUGGGGGGCGUGAGUGAGUGAGAAGUAGGCGGAAUGCGUGGUGUAGCGGUGAAAUGCAUAGAUAUCACGAAGAACUCCGAUUGCGAAGGCAGCAUACCGGCGCUCAACUGACGCUGAUGCACGAAAGUGUGGGUAGCGAACAGGAUUAGAUACCCCUGUAGUC
rnacentral:rRNA from 1 species